rnacentral:rRNA from 1 species
UGUAGCUAAUACCGUAUAUUCCAGAAAUGGGAAAGAUUUAUCAGCUAUGAGAUUGGCCCGCGCAAGAUUAGCUUGUUGGUAAGGUAACGGCUUACCAAGGCUCCGAUCUUUAGCUGGUUUGAGAGGAUGAUCAGCCACACUGGGACUGAGACACGGCCCAGACUCCUACGGGAGGCAGCAGUAGGGAAUAUUGGACAAUGGGGGAAACCCUGAUCCAGCAAUGCAGCGUGAGUGACGAAGGCCUUAGGGUUGUAAAACUCUUUCAUCGGUGAGGAUAAUGACAGUAGCCGAAGAAGAAGGACCGGCUAAUUCCGUGCCAGCAGCCGCGGUAAUACGGAAGGUCCUAGCGUUGUUCGGAAUUACUGGGCGUAAAGCGCAUGUAGGCGGAACAAAAAGUUAGAAGUGAAAUCCCUGGGCUCAACCUAGGAAUUGCUUUUAAAACUUUUGUUCUGGAAUUCAGGAGAGGAAAAUGGAAUUUCCAGUGUAGAGGUGAAAUUCGUAGAUAUUGGAAGGAACACCAGUGGCGAAGGCGAUUUUCUGGACUGAUAUUGACGCUGAGAUGCGAAGGCAUGGGUAGCGAACGGGAUUAGAUACCCCGGU